rnacentral:rRNA from 1 species
AUUGAACGCUGGCGGCAGGCCUAACACAUGCAAGUCGAACGAGUGGCGGACGGGUGAGUAAUGUCUGGGCAACUGCCUGAUGGAGGGGGAUAACUACUGGAAACGGUAGCUAAUACCGCAUACCAUCAGAUGUUCCCAGAUGGGAUUAGCUUGUGGGUGGGGUAACGUAUCACCAAGGCGACGCUCUCUAGCUGGACUGAGAGGAUGACCAGCAACACUGGAACUGAGACACGGUCCAGACUCGUACGGGAGGCAGCAGUGGGGAAUAUUGCACAAGGGGCGGAAGCCGGAUGCAGCCAAGCGGCGUGUAUGAAGAAGGCCUUCGGGUUGUAAAGGACUUCCAGCGGGGAGGCGGUACCCGCAGAAGAAGCACCGGCUAACUCCGUGCCAGCAGCCGCGGUAAUAC